UCUGGGAUUUCUAUCCUGUUCCACUGAUCUAUAUUUCUGUCUUUGUGCCAGUACCAUGCGGUUUUGACGACUGUUGCUUUGUAGUCUAGUCUGAAGUCCGGGAGUCUGAUUCCUCCAGCUCCAUUUUUCUUUUUCAGGAUGUCUUUGGCCCUUCUGGGUCUUUUGGGCUUCCACACAAACUUUAAACUAUUUUGUUUGAGUUCUGUGAAAAAUGACCUUGGUAAUUUCAGAGGGAUUGCAUUGAAUCAGUAGAUUGCCUUGGGUAGUAUAGUCAUUUUGAUAAUAUUAACUCUUCCAAUCCAUGAGCAUGGUAUUAUCUUUCCAUCUAUUUGUGUCAUCUUUGAUUUCUUUCAUCAGCAUCUUUUUUUGGUCUUUUAUACCUUUUCUAGGUCUGCAACCAUGGCUUAUGGAGGUUCCCAGGCUACGGGUCUAAUCAUAGCUGUAGCCACUGGCCUACACCAGAGCUACAACAAUGUGGAAUCCGAGCUGUGUCUGUGAUCUACACCACAGCUCACAGCAAUGCCAGAUCCUUAAUCCACUGAGAAAGACCAGGGAUCAAACACACAACCUCAUGGUUACUAGUCAGAUUUGUUAACAACUGCACCACUACAGGAACUCCUCAUCAGAGUCUUAUAGUUUUCAGAGUACAGUUCUUUUGUCUCUUUAGGUAGGUUUACUCCUAGGUUUUUCAGUCUUGUGGAUGUGAUGGUAAACAGGAUUGCUUCCCUAAUUUCUCAUUCUGCUCUUUCAUUGUUAGUGUAUAGAAAUGCUGUCAAUUUCUGUGUAUUAAUUUUGUAUCCUGCGACUUUGCCAAAUUCAUGGAUGAGCUCAAAUAGUUUUCUGGUAAAGUCUUUAGGAUUCUCUAGGUAGAGUAUCAUGUCAUCUGCAAAUAGUGAUAGUUUUACUUCUUCCUUUCCAAUUUGGAUUCCUUUUAUCUCUUUUACUUUUCUGAUUGCCAUGUCUAGGACUUCCAAAACUAUGUUGAAGAGUAGUGGUGAGAGCGGACAUCCUUGUCUUGUUCCUGAUCUUAGCAGGAAGUGUUUUUCUUUUUCUGUGAGUUUGGGGGAGCCAAACUGUAGUCUUGUAAGGCUCUUUCUAUGUAAGAAUACCCCUUUGUAUUUUGGGAGGGAUUACUAUUUAUUUUUGGUGUGAGUUUGAAUCUUUGCUGUCUCUUUCUUCAGUGUGAGCAGGCUGUUAUCUCCAGGAUGCUCAGUGUAUUUUCAGGGAGAAAGAGGCAAUGAGUACAGCCAGCAGUCAGUGACUGUUUGUUGGGCUCUCAACAGAAGCAAAGACCUGCAGGAAGAUGACACAGGCUACUCAUAGUUUCAGGGCCCUGGGAAGUGGUUCUGAGAUCUAGGAGGAUCUGCAAGGUGACCAGAGUAUUUGGCAGCAGUAGCAGCAGCAGGAUGCAUGAAUUCCCAGGGGGAUGAGAGCAAUAACAGCUUGCAUUUGAUUGCAAUGCUCUCCUCUGAGGUGAUUGUAGCCGCAGGUGGUGCCUGUUCAGGGACCUCUUGUGGGAGUUGGCCAUGACAUUUUCUAACAUCAGUGAUAACUGCAGUGGUUUGCUUCUGUCACCUGUAGAUUCUGCAUGAAGCAAUCCAUCUCACUUAGCUCUCAUUACAGGUGUUACACAGGCUGAUCCUAGUUGCAGGGUCCUGGGAAGUGACAGAGAUCUGGCAUAUGGGUACUGCCUGGAACAUUCAGCAGUGGCAGCAGCAGUGCCAUGGUGUUCCCCAGGGUGCAAGAGCACCAACAGCUCGUAUUCAUUCAGAAUGCCCUCCUCUGUGAUGACCUUGAGGUGACUGGGCUGCAAGUGGUGCCUGUUUACCUACCUCUAGUCGUGCUGGGCUAGUGCCAUCUCUGGAGCCAGAGAUAACUGUGACAGUUUGUCCCUACCACCUAUAAAUCAUGUGAGAAGCACCUUGUCCUGCUUAGUCCCAAUAGGAUGUGCUACACAAGCUGCUCUUUGUUGUAGGUUCCUUGGAAGGGACAUUGAUCAAGCAUCUGAGCACUGCCCAGAACAUUUGGCAGUUGCAGCUGCAUUUGCAGGCCAGGUGUGCUCCUGGGGGAGCAAGAGCAACAUCAGGUGGUGUUCUGCCAUAAUGUCCUUCUCUGUGAUGCCCUCUGAAUGGUUGGGGCUGCAAGUGAUUUUUGUUCAGGUAUCCCCAGUGGUGGUGGGCCAUGCCCACCUCUGGAAUCAGGGACAACUGUGGUGGUUUGCUCCUGCCACAUGAAGGUCCAGUCCUCUGUGGGGUAGCAAGUAGCCUCCUGCUGCCAGAGACACCUGAAGAGGCCCAGUCUGGAGAGGCCCAGUCUGAGGUGGGCCAGUGAGUAGCUUCCUGCAGCUGGAGAUGCCUGGUCUGUGGCAUAUGGAAAGCAGCUUCUGGCCACAGUGGGGGCUGCACUGGGGAUGCUCUGCCCUCUGUAAGCCAGUGGGCAUGUGCUCCCACUGGGGUGCAAGAAGUUCCCUUUGGCAGUCCUCCCCUGCCCAUCCUCCCUGACACUGGUGCCUUGCCUCUUCUGUGAGUCUGUACUUUCUCCAGGGUUCCCUCUGCCAUGGCUUUCCACUCCCCAGCCCUUAGUGAACUGCUCCCCCAGCCCAUGGUGCACUGCUCCUUAGCCCCUUAGGCUAUCUCCACACUGCCAAACCCAGCCCACUCCUUGGGACUGACCUCUGGAGCCUAAGUCUCAGCACCCAGCCCCCAUCUGAGCAUCUCAGGCUGUGGUUCUUUGCCGGUGGUUCAGACAAUCUAUGCAUCUCUCACUCUCCUUUUUCAUUCUCAGACCUGCCGCUGCACUUUUCUCAGAAUCUUUGAGGUCCCUCUGACUUGGCUGAUCUUUCUGUUGGUUAGGUGGCUUCCCCAGAUGUGGGUUCCUUUUCUCCCUCACAGCUCCCUCUCAGGAAUGCCAGUCCCAUCCUGAUUCCUUUUAUCUCUCUCUAUUUUUUCUUUUUUUCCACCCAGUUUUGUCAAGAGUUUCUUGCCCUUUUUGGAGGUUUAAGUUCUGCCAGCAUUCAGUUGAUGUUCUGUGCCAGUUGUUUUACAUGUAGAUGUGUUUUUUUGAUGUGUUUGUGGGAGAGGGUGAGCAUGACCUCUUACUCUUCUGCCAUCUUGCCUUCACCCCUCCAAACACAGUCUUUAUUCAUAGUCCCAAGGACUAGUUUGGAGUUCACCUUAAGGAUCCCUUCUUCUGUAUACCAAUUCACCGUAAUUCUCAGUAGCUUUGUGAUUUUGAAGAGUCUGAGCCAGACACUAAUGAAACCUAACAAUAUACCUGUACUUCCUUCCUCAGGGAUUCUGGGACAACCCACAACUGUUUUUCAAUGCCCUAGCUAAGAAAUAAAGAGAAAUAAAAUUAGAGAUGGGGACUUUAUUACAAUACAUAGAUGACCUCCUUAUCUUCAGCCCCUCAAAGAAAUCUUCAGACAAUAAUACUGUAUAGACCCUCAGGUUCCUGGGCUCCAGGGGAUAUAAAGUAUCCCCACAGAAAGGCCAAAUUUCCUCCCAGAGAGUCACUUACCUGGGACAUGUUCUAAAUCCAGGGAAGCAUGCCUUUAUGACCCAGUGUAAGGAAGGAAUCCUCCAUUUACAACAACACAUACAAAAAAACAGCUCAGAAUCUUUUUAGGAAUGGUUGGGUUUUGUAGGAUUUUUAUCCCCAGGUUUAGUCUCAUGGCAAAAACCAUUGUAGGAUUCCUUAAAGGGACCAAACAUGGAACUUCUAGAUUGGACAGGGAACUUAUGAAGAACAUUGAUCAGAUUAAGACUGCCCUGAGUAGUAUCCCAGGCCUGGGAUCUCAGAUCUUAAUAUGCCUUUUACUCUUUUUACCUAUUAAAAGAGGAAAUAGCCCUAGGAGUUCUCACUCAAAAUAUAGGGCCAAUUCCAUGACCAGUGACAUGUCUCUCAAAGUGAUUGGAGUCAGUGGUCUCAGGAUGGCAAGGCAGUCUUAAGAGCUCUAUCAACCACAGCCCUGUUAGUUGAAGAGGCCACAAAUCUCACCAUAUGUCAACCCCUAGAAGUACCGACACACCAGGUCAGAGAGCAUUAGAAAUGAAAGGACAUCAAUGACCGACUGGAGAAUACUUCACAAAUACUAGGUCUUUCUUCUACACUCUCCUGAAGUAACUCUUAAAAUAUGUCAGACCUUAAAUCUAGCCACUAUUAUGCCAAUAGAAAGCCCAGAGGAAUUAUCUCAUUCUUGUACUGAGACCAUUUAACAGAUAUAUUCUAGCAGACCUAAACUCAGCAAACCUGAUGCUGCCUGGUUUAUUGAUGGAUGUAGUUAUAUACAUGACAAUAUCCAGAAAGCAUUGUAUGCAUAAUAGAUUUACAUGAGAUCAUAGAGGCUAAUGCCCUGCCUCCCCAGACCUCAGCGCAAAAGCUGAGUUUAUAGCCCUAGCUCGAUCUCUAAGUCUAGGAAAAGACAAGAGGAUCAAUAUCUAUAUGGAUUCUAAGUAUGAAUUUUUGCUGUUAUGUGCACAUGCCUCUAUUUGGAAACACAGCAGACUCCUGACUACAUGGGUCUUCCUAACUCAGCACUGCCAAGAAACCUUAGAACUCCUAAAAGCAGUACAAUAACCUAAGGAGGUAGCAGUUACUCACUGUAAGGGACAUCAGAAGAGGAAUUCAGACAAAAUAAAGGAAAUAAUCUGACUGACAAGACGGCUAAGAGUACACCUCUUAAAACCCUUCAACUUAGGCUGCUUUACUUCCCUAUGUAUCAAUUCCCAGCCCACUUUUGCCACCCCAGUGUACAAGGAAAUAAAGUGGGCUAGAACUAAAAGAUACCAAAAGGGCCCCAAUGGAUGGUGGAUUACAGAACAAAUGGUAAUCCUACACAGAAUAUUACAAUGGAAAAUUUUAAAUAACUCCAUGACUCUUCAUCUGGGGAAAGAUGCUUUGAUUAGGCUGAGGGAGAAAAAAAUUUUCUAGUAUAGGCAUUUCUCAGAUUAUUUUAUAAAUAACAAAUGCCUGUAAUAUAUGCUUCUAUAACAAGCCAAGAGGAAAAUUUAGGCCUUCACCCCUCCUCCUGCCCAUUCAAAGCAAAGGAAGUUAUCUGGGAAAAGACUGUCAAAGAGAUUUUACCCAGAUGCCAUCCCUCCCAGGGAUAUAGAUACCUCCUAGUUUGUAUUGACACUUUCAUGGGGUGAUGGGAGCCUUUCCAACAAGGACAAAAAGAGCUCAGGAAAUAGUCAAGACUUUAUUAAAAGAAAUAAUUCCUCAGAUCAGACCUCUGAGGUCCUUACAAAGUGAUAAUGGUCUCUCUUUUGUGGCCAAGAUAACACAACAAAUCUCUCCUGCCCUAGGCGUUUUUUAUCACCUCCACAUUGCCUAUAGGCCUCAAUCAUCAGGAAAAGUUGAAAGGGGAAAUCAAACUUUAAAAAGAUCUCUGGCUAGGCUCUGUCAAGAGACAACAGAACCUUGGACAAAGUUUUAACAAUCACCAUCCUGAGAAUCAGGGUGGCACCUAAAACAAGUUUAAAACUUAGCCCGUUUGAAAUGACUUACAGUAAGCCAUUCUUAUCUGAAACCAGUGAGCUCAUUAAUUGCCUAAUUAAUCUGUGACAGGUCAAAAAGCUGAUUUCAGAAUAUGGAAAUCAUUUUUUGUCUGCCCCCAGCUAGGAAAUAAGCCCUAUUCAGGUUCAGCUGGGAGAUUUUGUCCUUCUCAAAGCAUGAAAGCAUGGAGGGAAGCAUCCUCUUCUGACAAAUUAUUGCCCAGGCGGAAGGGCCCACACAAAGCCCUUCUCAGCACUCCUACUGCAAUAAAACUACAGGGGAUCACUAGCUGGGUACACUUUCUAGAAUUAAAACUUCCCCUCCCCUGAGUCUUCACAGACAUGGGAGAUCUUGGACAGCCAGCAGAAUCUAGGUGAAUGAGCAAGCCUCUUCAGGACCUGAAGCUUUUAUUCAAGAGGACAAAAAAACAUCACAGAUAUAAGGCUGAGUACCUAUAGCCACUAUUCUCCUUUUGCCCUCUGAUACCCCAGUCCACCCAAAAAAUAAGUAAUAUGCUGUGGUGGAUUUGGUUACCUAUUAUCCUCCUCACUCUCCUUCUCACUGUCAAAAUCUUUUAUGAGUGCUGCUAUAGUGAACCACAUAGACCAGGGAGGGAAAUCCUCUGUCCAUUCUGGGUUUGAUAAGACACAUACCAAACCUAAGAAAACACCCCACAACUUCCACUCUUUCUCUUUUGUUCCAAAAAGUUCUAGAGACCCUACUUCUGCUCUUGUUCUCAUUUUAUCUGUCCAAUACCUUUGGUCCUAAGGCCUAAUGUAGAAAUAUAGCAUAACAGUCAAUAAUUCCAGAUUAUUGCUGAAGGGGAAAAUCCCACUUUCUGCUGCAAUUGCCAUUGCCAAUCCACUACCACAGGAGACAUAAAUACCACCCUCAAAGCUUACCCAGUCAAUGGCAACACUGUAUUCUCUGCUUUUAAUCAAUCUUGUGAGUGAGAAAAAUAAAGUUAACAGCAAACUGAGAAAAACACAAUACAAUAUAAAGAGUUAAUUUAUCUAAGAUAAGAAAAGCUUCUAAAAAGAAUAGAGAUGUAAACAAAGUUCAUGAAAAAAAUAAAAAAUGCUUUAUACAUAGAAAAGAUAUUCAGCCUGACUGAGACACAAAUAAAACUUCAAGUAGAU
rnacentral:lncRNA from 1 species